ACCAUUCUUUCCUUGGGGAUGUGCUACUGUCCAAUGAGUGCACAGCAAGAGCAGUCCUACCAACCCACAUAACACACUUGCCUCAACUAGAGUUUUGCUUCACCUCAGUGCAGUUUUUGGAGAA